AAGUGAAAGUCGUAUUCAGAGAGGGUGGGUUUCCUGUGGGUGUCCACAAACCAUGACGUGAAGACUGUGGGAGUAAAGGGAAAUGAUAAGUGGUUUGAAAGUCCUAAAGGGCAAGAGGUGAUGUGUGCGUUUCCAAGGGCAGAGAAAUGGCUGGUUACACAAGCUUCUGAUAAGAAAGUUCACAAGAACACGUCUAUCCUGUUCCUGCACAGGGGCAGCUCAGGAAUGUCAGAAGAGCCAUUCUUGGAAUGGCAAAGGGCACUUCCUUCAAAUUCUACAGAUGAGAAGGUCCCUGUACAGCCACUGGCAUGGCUUUGGCUGGUUUCAUAUCAGGAGUCACUUUUUUAACACAGCAUGGAAUAGCCACUGGCCCUCACUAAUGGCCUUGUGAUCUCCCUGGGGGUUUUGCACCUUCAUCUGCCACAUGGAUGCCAUGAGCCUAUGACAGAUGGAUGCAGACUUGACACUCUACCCCACCGGUUUUAAAAUUCCAAAAUCCGAUCCCAACUCUGUCUUGGAAAUAGACAGGAAGUUGGUUCAUGCCUGGCUAUGUUUACUUGCAAGCCUUUGGGUUAGCCAUACCGUCUGGCUUCAAAUUGGACAGCUGUACACUUUUCCAGGAUUCAAGCCAAAAUUUUUUUUUAAUGCUGAUUUGCUAAUUGGAUGCCAGGAACUGAGGAUCCAACUGAAUCUUAGUACGUGAGUCUUUAGAUGGUGUGUUUUUUUCUGAGCGGCUAUCAUUUGAUGGUACAUGAAUUUUCCACUGGGUCAGUUGGAAAUGUUUUCUUUGUAAGUUAAUUGUCUGCUGUAAGAUCCUGCAGAUUUCCAGAGCCUAAGAGCCAUGUUGGAUUCAUUUUUCCCAUUCCUAAGCUGGAAGAACUUAAUUUUAAAAUCAAGGGACAUUUUUUUUUUCUUAGAAAGAAGCCUAAUGGUCAUCUAUAUGUUUUGCUAUAAAUGACAGUGAAAAGAAAUGAACAAAAUCUUGAAAAUCUGAUAAUGUGUUCUGUGUUAAAGUUAUUGUCAUUAUUAAAACAACUAGGUCUGGAAGAAUUUAAAGUGAACAAACCCACUUACUUGUCACCAGGGAACAUGGAUAGUCUUACUGUGUUGUGUGAGCACACUGUGAGCCUCCAGCCUUGGGACUGCUAUGGUUUGUGAGCACAAUGUGAUCCUCUAACCUUGAGACAGGAGAUCAAAGGCAGAAGGCUGAAGUUCUGCAGAGCCUUCUCCCACCCUUCUCUCCUUUGGGUCCUGUGAAGAGGAACUGUCUAUUUAAUUACAACAUGCAUAAUAGAUGGACCUUGACAGUUACAGAGGUGAGUCUGGAAUGGGUAAAGCCCUCAAAUAUAUGAAGCUUUCGAUUGUGGAUUAUAGGGAAAUUCCCCAUAUUUGGGAAGAUGUGGAGGACUGGAACCAUUUCUGUAGGGAUCUUGCAGCUAUAACCAGGAUCCUGGAUGUUCCCUGAAUGCAUACAUGUUAGAGGCUUGUCCCUCAGAGUGGAGGGGUUUGGAAGUAUUAGAACCUUUGGGAGGUGGAGCCUAGGUGAAUGAAGG
rnacentral:lncRNA from 1 species